CUUUCUUUUUCAGAAUUUACAUAAAUUCCCAUCUUUCUUCUAUGGAUUAUAUAAUUCGAAGAAAGUUUUUAUCCAGAAGGAAAAAGAGAACUUAAAAGACGUUUUCAAGGAUAUUAAUUUCUUACGACAGUUUAAUCAUCGAAACAUCGUUAAUAUUAUUGGUUUUUCAGCACUACGGGAGCCUGUUUUACUUCUUAUAGAAUACCUUUCUGGUGGUUUGUUGUUGCAUUAUCUUAGGAUGAGAGGAGACUCUUUAAAUUCAAGGCAGAAAAUCAGAAUGUGUCAGGAUGUCGCAAAUGGAAUGGCCUACUUACAUCGCAAAAAAUGUAUUCACAGAGACCUAGGAGCAAGAAACUGUGUAGUCGGUGAAGAUUCCACAGUUAAGAUUUUCAAUUUCCGGAUGGCAGAAAUGGGGGAUGAGUAUAAAUUUAUCAGUGCAUAUUCUUAUGCUUCAAAAUGGACACCACCCGAGUCUAUUCU